CGUCCAGUUUAGUUGUAAGUUGAUUGAAAUAAAUUCGAGACAACAAGGAAUACUCAAGUGUAUGUGGGCUGUAUUUUGAAAAGACAAUAAUUUAGCACUAAAUAAUUCAAGAACUGUUACUUAUAAAAAACUAUGUAAUCAGUUUUAAAAUACAAUUCAAUAAUCUAGACCAAAGAAUUGGAAAGAAGGUCUAUUUAUGUUUUGUUAGUCAGAGAGAAUUUAGAUGAACUUUUCGUUGGAUUGGAAAAUAAAUUGAAAGAAAUCAAAACAGUGAUCGAUGGAGGGCCCUUUGUUGACCAAGAGUGAGCAAAUCGUAAACACUACAAUCGAU
rnacentral:lncRNA from 1 species